rnacentral:rRNA from 1 species
AUGAUGCAUGUGCUAGCAGUCAGGGUGGCUGGCUGCAUCAUCUCUGCGUCUCCAGCUCGCCGGGUUCGAGUGCAAGCAGCAAAAAAUCUGGAAGCAACAAAAAUCUUCCAGCAAAAAACUUCACCCCAGGUCGAAGUCCGGUGGUCGGUUGAAGCAAAAUCAAAAAAUGCUUCUAGCAAAAACAAACUUAGGUGCCAACAAAAACGACAUGAGCAUUUGAGAGCUCUGCAACCGAUGAAGCAAAAAAUUAUCUUGGUUCCAGCAAAAAAAUACACCGGUUCCAGCAAAAACAAAAAAUUGGUUCAGCAAAAAAUGCAUCAGCAAAAAAUUGCCACCCUCUCUUGCAGCUCCCCCAGCAGCCGGUUGCAGCUCCGGCGUGCAUGA